UACAGAGGUCUCAAGCGUUGUCCGGAUUUAUUGGGCGUAAAGAGCUCGUAGGCGGCUUGUCGCGUCGUCCGUGAAAACCUGCAGCUCAACUGCAGGCUUGCGGUCGAUACGGGCAGGCUAGAGUUCGGUAGGGGAGACUGGAAUUCCUGGUGUAGCGGUGAAAUGCGCAGAUAUCAGGAGGAACACCGGUGGCGAAGGCGGGUCUCUGGACAGUUCCUGACACUGAGACACGAAGGCCAGGGGAGCAAACGGG
rnacentral:rRNA from 1 species